ACUGGGAUUUGAUACCCCACUAUGCUUAGUCGUAAACAUUGACAACAACACACACCUGUUGUCCGCCUGGGAACUACGAGCGCCAGCUUAAAACCCAAAGGACUUGGCGGUGCUUUAGAUCCACCUAGAGGAGCCUGUUCUAGAACCGAUACCCCCCGUUCAACCUCACCCUUCCUUGUUCCCCCCGCCUAUAUACCGCCGUCGUCAGCUUACCCUGUGAAGGACUUAUAGUAAGCAAAAUUGGCACAGCCCAAAACGCCAGGUCGAGGUGUAGCGUAUGGAAGGGGAAGAAAUGGGCUACAUUCUCUAAUCUCAGAGAAAACGAAUGAUGCACUGAAACACGCAUCUGAAGGAGGAUUUAGCAGUAAGCAGGAAAUAGAGUGUCCUGCUGAAAUUGGCCCUGAAGCGCGCACACACCGCCGGUCACUCUCC
rnacentral:rRNA from 1 species